rnacentral:rRNA from 1 species
AUUGAACGCUGGCGGCAGGCCUAACACAUGCAAGUCGAGCGGAUGAAGGGAGCUUGCUCCUGGUUUCAGCGUCGGACGGGUGAGUAAUGCCUAUGAAUCUGCCUGGUAGUGGUGGAUAACGUCCUGAAACGGGCGCUAAUACCGCCUACUUCCUGCUGCAGAUAGUUGGGGAUCUUCGGACCUCACCCUCUCAUAUGAGCCUAGGUCGGAUUAGCUAGUUGGUGGGGUAAAGGCCUACUAAGGCGGCGAUCCGUAACUGGUCUGAGAGGAUGAUCAGUCACACGAGAGCUGAGACACGGUCCAGACGACUAAGGGAGGCAGCAGUGGGGAAUAGUGGACAGUGGGCGAAAGCCUGAUACAACCAGGCCGAGUGUGUGAAGAAGGUGUUCGGAUUGUGAAGAAGUUUAAGUUGGGAGGAAGGGCAGUAAGUUAAUACCUAGCUGGUUUGACGUUACCAACAAAAUAAGCACCGGCUAACUUCGUG